rnacentral:rRNA from 1 species
GAUGAACGCUGGCGGCGUGCUUAACACAUGCAAGUCGAACGGAAAGGCCGAAGCUUGCUUCGGUACUCGAGUGGCGAACGGGUGAGUAACACGUGGGUGAUCUGCCCUGUACUUCGGGAUAAGCUUGGGAAACUGGGUCUAAUACCGGAUAUGACGAUCUCUUGGAUGGGGUUGUGGAAAGCUUUUGCGGUAUGGGAUGAGCUCGCGGCCUAUCAGCUUGUUGGUGGGGUAAUGGCCUACCAAGGCGUCGACGGGUAGCCGGCCUGAGAGGGUGUACGGCCACAUUGGGACUGUGAUACGGCCCAGACUCCUACGGGAGGCAGCAGUGGGGAAUAUUGCACAAUGGGCGCAAGCCUGAUGCAGCGACGCCGCGUGGGGGAUGACGGCCUUCGGGUUGUAAACUCCUUUCGCAAUCGACGAAGCCUUUUGGUGACGGUAGGUUGAGAAGAAGCACCGGCUAACUACGUG